AUCCAAGGUGAUUCCCUCUCCAAGGGGCCAGCUAGUGCCUCUCAGGAAAGUAGCAACUUGGAAAAAAAUCUGGCAUGCCUAAACUUUGGGGGAACAUGGGAUGAAUAUUUCCUUUGCCUUCCUUAGGCUGCCUACAUGU